AGUGAACGCUGGCGGUAGGCCUAACACAUGCAAGUCGAACGGCAGCACAGUAAGAGCUUGCUCUUACGGGUGGCGAGUGGCGGACGGGUGAGGAAUACAUCGGAAUCUACUUUUUCGUGGGGGAUAACGUAGGGAAACUUACGCUAAUACCGCAUACGACCUACGGGUGAAAGCAGGGGAUCUUCGGACCUUUCGCGAUUGAAUGAGCCGAUGUCGGAUUAGCUAGUUGGCGGGGUAAAGGCCCACCAAGGCGACGAUCCGUAGCUGGUCUGAGAGGAUGAUCAGCCACACUGAAACUGAGACACGGUCCAGACUCCUACGGGAGGCAGCAGUGGGGAAUAUUGGACAAUGGGCGCAAGCCUGCUCCAGCCAUACCGCGUGGGUGAAGAAGGCCUUCGGGUUGUAAAGCCCUUUUGUUGGGAAAGAAAAGCAGCAGGUUAAUACCCCGCUGUUCUGACGGUACCCAAAGAAUAAGCACCGGCUAACUUCGU
rnacentral:rRNA from 1 species